UAGAACUUAUGGUUACUUGUUGAAUUCUGCCAAGACGCCUGAGGAAGCUAUUGGGAUUUUGGAAAGGAUGAAUGGAAACCAGUGUAAGAUGACUGGAGAUAUUUACAAUUUGUUGUUAAGGUUGUUUAUGAGCUGGGAUGAUCAAGAUAAAGUAAAGAGUACGUGGGAUGAGAUGGAGAGGAGUGGACUAGGACCUGAUCAACGAUCUUAUACAAUUAUGAUUCACGGUCUGUAUGAAGGGGGAAG
rnacentral:misc_RNA from 1 species